rnacentral:rRNA from 1 species
UGAUGCCAUGCUUCCAGGAAAAGCCUCUAAGCUUCAGAUUGUAAGGAAUCGUACCCCAAACCGACACAGGUGGUCGGGUAGAGAAUACCAAGGCGCUUGAGAGAACUCGGGUGAAGGAACUAGGCAAAAUGGUACCGUAACUUCGGGAGAAGGUACGCUCUUGAUGGUGAAGUCCCUUGCGGAUGGAGCUGACGAGAGUCGCAGAUACCAGGUGGCUGCAACUGUUUAUUAAAAACACAGCACUGUGCAAAAUCGUAAGAUGACGUAUACGGUGUGACGCCUGCCCGGUGCCGGAAGGUUAAUUGAUGGGGUUAGCGUAAGCGAAGCUCUUGAUCGAAGCCCCGGUAAACGGCGGCCGUAACUAUAACGGUCCUAAGGUAGCGAAAUUCCUUGUCGGGUAAGUUCCGACCUGCACGAAUGGCGUAAUGAUGGCCACGCUGUCUCCACCCGAGACUCAGUGAAAUUGAAAUCGCUGUGAAGAUGCAGUGUACCCGCGGCUAGACGGAAAGACCCCGUGAACCUUUACUACAGCUUGGCACUGAACAUUGAACCUACAUGUGUAGGAUAGGUGGGAGGCUUUGAAGACGUGACGCCAGUUGCGUUGGAGCCGUCCUUGAAAUACCACCCUUGUAUGUUUGAUGUUCUAACGUUGGCCCCUAAUCGGGGUUGCGGACAGUGCCUGGUGGGUAGUUUGACUGGGGCGGUCUCCUCCCAAAGAGUAACGGAGGAGCACGAAGGUGGGCUAAUCACGGUUGGACAUCGUGAGGUUAGUGCAAUGGCAUAAGCCCGCUUAACUGCGAGAAUGACGGUUCGAGCAGGUGCGAAAGCAGGUCAUAGUGAUCCGGUGGUUCUGAAUGGAAGGGCCAUCGCUCAACGGAUAAAAGGUACUCCGGGGAUAACAGGCUGAUACCGCCCAAGAGUUCAUAUCGACGGCGGUGUUUGGCACCUCGAUGUCGGCUCAUCACAUCCUGGGGCUGAAGUCGGUCCCAAGGGUAUGGCUGUUCGCCAUUUAAAGUGGUACGCGAGCUGGGUUUAGAACGUCGUGAGACAGUUCGGUCCCUAUCUGCCGUGGGCGUUGGAAGAUUGAAGGGGGCUGCUCCUAGUACGAGAGGACCGGAGUGGACGAACCUCUGGUGUUCGGGUUGUGUCGCCAGACGCAUUGCCCGGUAGCUAAGUUCGGAAUCGAUAACCGCUGAAAGCAUCUAAGCGGGAAGCGAGCCCUGAGAUGAGUCUUCCCUGAUACUUUAAGUAUCCUGAAGGGUUGUUCGAGACUAGAACGUUGAUAGGCAGGGUGUGUAAGCGCUGUGAGGCGUUGAGCUAACCUGUACUAAUUGCCCGUGAGGCUUAACCAUACAACACCCAAAGGGUUUUG